rnacentral:lncRNA from 10 species
AAAUACAUAAGUGAUUAACUUCUUUUAAUCUAUAACUAAGUCUGAGUCCUGAAGACCUUCCUCUGGAACCUCAGUUAAAUUCAGUUAAUCUAAAUGGGUCUAGGUGCUGGGGGCCCUUAUCUUGUCUCCUGCUAAAUCACAGAGGUUUGGAGAGUCCCUUCAGAUCUCCAAUAAACUUGUUUGUGGAGGCCUGGGGAGUUUCUUCAGACCCCCAGUAAAACUUAUUUAAUACUAAAUGGCUCCUGUUAAGAAUGCCUUCGUUAUUUCGUCAUGCUUUAAGGCCCAGGAAAAACCUAGGCAAAACUCUUGGUGGGCUUUUGUUACAUUCCAGCCUUUGUAUAAGGGCACUGGCUUCUUUUUUUUUUUUUCCUCUUAAUAUUUAAUUGAACCACUCAGUCGGUACUGAAACAGUUGUUACGGAGGCCUGUGUUAGUGAGACCUGGCCUGCCACGUAUGGAUGUUCAUGAUAGUUUCUUCAUAAUAGCCCAAACGCGGAAUGAUAGAAAUGUCCAAUAACAAGUGAAAGUACAAACAUACAUGGUAUAGCCACACGAAGGAAUACUACUCAGUAUUUACAAGACAUUACAGAUGGAUUUUAAAAUUACAUUGAUGCAUGAAAGAAGGCAACACAAAAGAACACAGGUAUCAUUUCAUUUAUAGAAAAUGGUUAAAAAUGCAAACGGACCUGAAGUGACAGUGGCUCCUUGGGGCUGAGGGUUGAAAGGCUGAUGAACUGCAAAGGGGUACAAGAAACUUUGGGGCAUAGGGAAUUUCCUCUAUCUUGGUUGUGGCAGUAGUUCCGUUAGUGUAUCCAUUUGUAAACGUGCAUUGAAUUACACAUUUUAAAGUGGUGCAGUCUGUUGUACCGAAAUUAUGCCUUUAUAAAGUUGAUUUCAUCAUCU